UAGCAUAGAAUACUCUACAGACAGAAGA
rnacentral:piRNA from 1 species